UAAAACGCGCAGCAGGAACAGGCCCAGUGGCUGUUUGUCGGAGCGUCCUGAUAGAGAAACAAUAACGAAGUUAGUUCUAAUUGCAAAUUGAUACUCAUCGAAACAUUCGGCAAGUUGGAGAAAGGAUGUAAUGUAUAUGCAUCAUAUUUAAAUAACUAUGAAGUUUGAUUGAUGCAGUAUCCACUGAUGAAGGAUUCAGCUGUGACUGGUCCAAACCUCUCUGCCCCUCCCCUCCUACCUGGAUGGACCAAUAAGACUAAUUGAGGAACACUGAUUUCAAAUGGUGCUAGACACUAGAACACACAUCUAAACCACCACAGGAAACCAGAUUCCAGGGGAAGACCAGGUCAAGGAUGCACGCUUGCACGGACAUGAGAGAGGCGAAGAUGAAGGGUAUAAACGAACAUAGUGGGAAUUUGGGAAGAUAAGUGCUGUGGCUGCCAAGAUGUAGCAGGACAGGGAGUAACUUUGGCUAACCUUGGCUGUGAAAUAAUAUAUGGCUUUACAAAGAGGAAGUGACUCUCACCAGAGGAAUAUCAUUACUAUAGCAGCAGAGUAGCUCGAAGGUGAACUGCAGGAUGACAUAAUCGCCCACACCCCUCGUGAGUUUGCUCUUUGCAAUAAUGUGAAAAAUACUACACAAAUCUACUGCGCAUACACAUUACAAAUUCACAGCUCCCAUAACUAAUAAAUAAGCUUUACAGGAGUUACUUGAUACAAUGUCUUCUUGUUAUUUCAGUCUUAUAAAAAGGUUAAUGCCACAUUUUUUGCUCCAAACUCCAUGACUGUUAACAUUUCAAAGCCCUUGACAGUGGCUGGAAGGAAAUCGCUGUGAUUUCUCUACGUUUCAUAACAGACCGUCAUAAGAAGGUCAUAAGACCUGAAUAGAGAAAUGAAUUUGAUUGUCAAACAUUCGUUUGGGUAUUCAAUUUCAAGCACCCCAAAGCUCACAGAGAUGAAUAACCAGAACUAAAUGUCCUGAGUGGCACACCAUGCUGUGCGUCGCCCGCAUACUCACACUGACGUGGGCCCAGUAGAGCCUCCAUGCCUGUUGUCCUCACUGUGGAAAACCUUGGGAAAAGAGCAGAUAUUCAGUGAGGGAGCAGUGCGUGUGAGCGUAGAUGCUGGCGUUUGGUAACUGUGCCACAUGUACACAAACCAGCUGCCCGGUGGAUCUCUAUGGACAUUAAACUCACAAAGGUGGCCAUGUGACCGAACAACCACCCCUCCUCUCUCACACUUGAGAUGUUGCCAGUGAUGAUGUCACCAUUACCCUCUGUACCUCCCAUUCAGAUCUACAGAGUCAUUCCACCUUCAGAUGAAAAGCACAGGUUCCCUCACACAGCACAUUCGUAUCCGCUCGUAAAACGCAAAGGGAGCAGUAACGUUAACGCGGCAGUAACGUUAACGCGGCAGAGACGACUAAAUCGUCUCCUUAACGAACAGCCUGGAGCAACAGGAAACAUUCUGUCCAAUCCACUGUCCAGAUAAGAGGGGUGUGGUUCCACCCACCACCUACAGUACGAACUCUGACGUCUACCAUUCAAUGUAAUACUCAUUCACAGGAAUGCAUUGAGGCCAAG